rnacentral:rRNA from 1 species
AUUGAACGCUGGCGGCAGGCCUAACACAUGCAAGUCGAGCGAGAGGCGGACGGGUGAGUCAUGUAUGGGGACUGCCCGCUAGAGGGGGAUAACUACUGGAAACGGUAGCUAAUACCGCAUACUAUCGGAUAACCCAUAUGGGAUUAGCUAGUAGGUGAGGUAAUGGCUCACCUAGGCGACGAUCCCUAGCUGGUCUGAGAGGAUGAUCAGCCACACUGAGACUGAGACACGGCCCAGACUCCUCCGGCGACAACAGUUGGGAAUAUUGCACAAUGGGCGCAAGCCUGAUACAGCCAUGCCGCGUGUAUGAAGAAGUCCCUAGGGUUGUAAAGUACUUUCAGACGGGAGGCGUUACCGACAGAAGAAGCACCGGCUAACUCCGUGCCAGCAGCCGCGGUAAUUC